rnacentral:lncRNA from 1 species
UAAAUGAAAUGACUCGACUAGAAAGUGCGUUUUCUAAGAGUGAAUGUUUAAGCUAGGAAGUGUGUUACCUAACACAUGAAAACUAACACACCCUGACUAGGAAGUGCAUCUUCUAGGAGUUAAAUAAAAUGACUCGACUAGAAACUAUAUCUUCUAGGAGUAAUGGUUCGGGUUAGGAAGUGUGUUACCUAAGAAAUGAAUCUUGAAUUAUCCAG